rnacentral:rRNA from 1 species
UACGGGGGGGGGCAAGCGUUGUUCGGAAUUACUGGGCGUAAAGGGCUCGUAGGCGGCCAACUAAGUCAGACGUGAAAUCCCUCGGCUUAACCGGGGAACUGCGUCUGAUACUGGAUGGCUUGAGUUUGGGAGAGGGGAUGCGGAAUUCCAGGUGUAGCGGUGAAAUGCGUAGAUAUCAGGAGGAACACCGGUGGUGUAGACGGCUUUCUGGACCGUAACUGACGCUGAGACACGAAAGCGUGGGUAGCAAACAGG